AUAUCUCUCCGUACGGGAAGGAUGAGAAGCUUCGACCAAGGUUCGAUUCGAGCGCAGCGAGAAAGCGUUGCCGCAGGCAACGA
rnacentral:sRNA from 1 species